rnacentral:rRNA from 1 species
UACGGGGGGGGCAAGCGUUGUUCGGAAUUACUGGGCGUAAAGGGCUCGUAGGUGGCCAACUAAGUCGGACGUGAAAUCCCUCGGCUUAACCGGGGAACUGCAUCCGAUACUGGAUGGCUUGAGUUCGGGAGAGGGAUGCGGAAUUCCUGGUGUAGCGGUGAAAUGCGCAGAUAUCAGGAGGAACACCGGUGGCGAAGGCGGGUCUCUGGGCAACAACUGACGCUGGAGGAGCGAAAGCGUGGGGAGCGAACAGG